rnacentral:rRNA from 1 species
GACGAACGCUGGCGGCGUGCCUAAUACAUGCGAGUCGAGCGAGUCUGCCUUGAAGAUCGGAGUGCUUGCACUCUGUGAAACAAGAUACAGGCUAGCGGCGGACGGGUGAGUAACACGUGGGUAACCUGCCCAAGAGAUCGGGAUAACACCUGGAAACAGAUGCUAAUACCGGAUAACAACAGAUGAUGCCUAUCAACUGUUUAAAAGAUGGUUCUGCUAUCACUCUUGGAUGGACCUGCGGUGCAUUAGCUAGUUGGUAGGGUAACGGCCUACCAAGGCGAUGAUGCAUAGCCGAGUUGAGAGACUGAUCGGCCACAUUGGGACUGAGACACGGCCCAAACUCCUACGGGAGGCAGCAGUAGGGAAUCUUCCACAAUGGACGCAAGUCUGAUGGAGCAACGCCGCGUGAGUGAAGAAGGGUUUCGGCUCGUAAAGCUCUGUUGUUGGUGAAGAAGGACAGGGGUAGUAACUGACCUUUGUUUGACGGUAAUCAAUUAGAAAGUCACGGCUAACUACGUG